UACGUAGGGCGCAAGCGUUGUCCGGAAUUAUUGGGCGUAAAGAGCUCGUAGGCGGUCUGUCGCGUCGGAUGUGAAAGCCCGGGGCUUAACCCCGGGUCUGCAUUCGAUACGGGCAGACUAGAGUGUGGUAGGGGAGAUCGGAAUUCCUGGUGUAGCGGUGAAAUGCGCAGAUAUCAGGAGGAACACCGGUGGCGAAGGCGGGUCUCUGGGCCGUAACUGACGCUGAGGAGCGAAAGCGUGGGGAGCGAACAGG
rnacentral:rRNA from 1 species